rnacentral:rRNA from 1 species
UACGUAGGGGGCUAGCGUUGUCCGGAAUCAUUGGGCGUAAAGCGCGUGUAGGCGGUCCGGUAAGUCCGCUGUGAAAGUCGGGGGCUCAACCCUCGAAUGCCGGUGGAUACUGUCAGACUAGAGUACGGAAGGGGCGAGUGGAAUUCCUGGUGUAGCGGUGAAAUGCGCAGAUAUCAGGAGGAACACCCAUUGCGAAGGCAGCUCGCUGGGACGUUACUGACGCUGAGACGCGAAAGCGUGGGGAGCAAACAGG